rnacentral:rRNA from 1 species
UACCAGCACCCCGAGUGGUCGGGACGAUUAUUGGGCCUAAAGCAUCCGUAGCCGGUCCUACAAGUCUUCCGUUAAAUCCACCUGCUCAACAGAUGGGCUGCGGAAGAUACUAUAGGGCUAGGAGGCGGGAGAGGCAAGCGGUACUCAGUGGGUAGGGGUAAAAUCCUCUGAUCCAUUGAAGACCACCAGUGGCGAAGGCG